UACGGGGGGGGCAAGCGUUGUUCGGAAUUACUGGGCGUAAAGGGCGCGUAGGCGGCCCAAUCAGUCGGGCGUGAAAGCUCUGGGCUUAACCCAGAAAUGUCGUUCGAUACUGUUGGGCUAGAGUGUGGAAGAGGCUACUGGAAUUCCGUGUGUAGCGGUGAAAUGCGUAGAUAUCGGGAGGAAUACCUAUGGCGAAAGCAGGCUACUGGACCGUCACUGACUCUGAUCUGCGAAAGCUAGGGGAGCAAACAGG
rnacentral:rRNA from 1 species